UAUGAGUAACUUGCAGGUGAUCAAGAGUAGGUUGAUGGUGUUGCUGUCGUGAGUGAUUUAUUCCUCACUGAGUCUUAGGUUGCUCUGAUACGUCACGGGAGGGGAUCUUUAGUGGCUAUUUCUCUUUCCUUUGCGUAUAUGCUAUGAUUAUGUUGUUUAACUGAACUUAUGAGAUGAUUUUUAUGAGGCCUGCGUGCCA
rnacentral:lncRNA from 1 species